rnacentral:rRNA from 1 species
GACGAACGCUGGCGGCGUGCCUAAUACAUGCAAGUAGAACGCUGAAGGAGGAGCUUGCUUCUCUGGAUGAGUUGCGAACGGGUGAGUAACGCGUAGGUAACCUGCCUGGUAGCGGGGGAUAACUAUUGGAAACGAUAGCUAAUACCGCAUAAUAGUAGAUGUUGCAUGACAUUUGCUUAAAAGGUGCAAUUGCAUCACUACCAGAUGGACCUGCGUUGUAUUAGCUAGUUGGUGAGGUAACGGCUCACCAAGGCAACGAUGCAUAGCCGACCUGAGAGGGUGAUCGGCCACACUGGGACUGAGACACGGCCCAGUGUCCUACGGGAGGCAGCAGUAGGGAAUCUUCGGCAAUGGACGGAAGUCUGACCGAGCAACGCCGCGUGAGUGAAGAAGGAUUUCGGAUCGUAAAGCUCGGUUGUAAGAGAAGAACGAGUGUGAGAGUGGAAAGUUCACACUGUGACGGUAUCUUACCAGAAAGGGACGGCUAACUACGUG